rnacentral:rRNA from 1 species
GACGAGGGGUCCUAGCGUUGUUCGGAAUCAUUGGGCGUAAAGAGUAUGUAGGCGGCUUUUCAAGUCAGAUGUGAAAGCCCACGGCUUAACCGUGGAAAUGCAUUUGAAACUGCUAAGCUUGAGUGCGGAAGAGGAUGGUAGAAUUCCAGGUGUAGUGGUGAAAUACGUAGAUAUCUGGAGGAAUACCGGAGGCGAAGGCGGCCAUCUGGUCCGCUACUGACGCUGAGAUACGAAAGCGUGGGGAUCAAACAGGGAUUAAGAU